GACGAACGCUGGCGGCGUGCCUAAUACAUGCAAGUUGAGCGAUGAAGAUUGGUGCUUGCACCAAUUUGAAGAGCAGCGAACGGGUGAGUAACGCGUGGGGAAUCUGCCUUUGAGCGGGGGACAACAUUUGGAGACGAAUGCUAAUACCGCAUAACAACUUUAAACAUAAGUUUUAAGUUUGAAAGAUGCAAUUGCAUCACUCAAAGAUGAUCCCGCGUUGUAUUAGCUAGUUGGUGAGGUAAAGGCUCACCAAGGCGAUGAUACAUAGCCGACCUGAGAGGGUGAGCGGCCACAUUGGGACUGAGACACGGCCCAAACUCCUACGGGAGGCAGCAGUAGGGAAUCUUCGGCAAUGGACGAAAGUCUGACCGAGCAACGCCGCGUGAGUGAAGAAGGUUUUCGGAUCGUAAAACUCUGUUGGUAGAGAAGAACGUUGGUGAGAGUGGAAAGCUCAUCAAGUGACGGUAACUACCCAGAAAGGGACGGCUAACUACGUG
rnacentral:rRNA from 1 species